GAGAAAAUGAGUUUACAUGGCAGAAGGAGUGCCAUUAAUCUUUAAGUGAAAGUUACCAAGAUGAUGAGAAAAGUUUGAUAUUAGAAUUCCCUAGUCAAAUCUGAGAAGGCGACUUAGGACGAAGGAAACAAUUAAGGUAGUUCACCACUUUACUAAGAUGAAGUGAGUGAAAGAAUGUUGUUAGGUCCUGAACUGGUCCAACAGAUGAUUGAGAAAGUCGACC
rnacentral:lncRNA from 1 species